rnacentral:lncRNA from 10 species
GCCAGGUUUUUCUGGGAAAUGGCAAACCUCUCACUGCCCUUCCCAGAAAGGCCUUCCUCCUGCCAGGAGGCUGUUUAAUCAGAACCACAAACAAUCGUGAAUAAAGGGAAGGUAGUCAUAUUAAGCAGCACCUGUCCUGUAGGGAACGCAAUGAUUGCAGAGGAAAAACACAGAGUGAAGCCUGCUUGCAUCUCCCUGGGGUGUAGAGACUGACUUCCUCCCACAGCAUGAGAAAAUUAAUGCUGGGAGAUUUAAAAUGAAUUGCCCAAGAACACACAGUAUGACAUUGGCAGAGCUGUGGGCAACUUCUGCUAUCCCUGUCUUGGAAUCCAGUCACCAUGUAAAAAAUGCCACUGCCCUGAGACCACCCACCAUGCUGUUAAGAAGCCCAAGCAAGUGAAGUCACCGUAUACUAGAAUGUUAGGAAGAAGGUUUACUCCUGGAACAAACAUUGUACCUGGGUCAAAUAUUGGUCCUCAGU